rnacentral:rRNA from 1 species
CCUACGGGAGGCAGCAGUGGGGAAUAUUGGACAAUGGGCGCAAGCCUGAUCCAGCCAUGCCGCGUGAGUGAAGAAGGCCUUCGGGUUGUAAAGCUCUUUUGUCCGGAAAGAAAAGCAUUCGGUUAAUAACCGGGUGUCAUGACGGUACCGGAAGAAUAAGCACCGGCUAACUUCGUGCCAGCAGCCGCGGUAAUACGAAGGGUGCAAGCGUUACUCGGAAUUACUGGGCGUAAAGCGUGCGUAGGUGGUUUGUUAAGUCUGAUGUGAAAGCCCUGGGCUCAACCUGGGAACGGCAUUGGAAACUGGCUUACUAGAGUGCGGUAGAGGGGUGUGGAAUUCCCGGUGUAGCAGUGAAAUGCGUAGAUAUCGGGAGGAACAUCUGUGGCGAAGGCGACACCCUGGACCAGCACUGACACUGAGGCACGAAAGCGUGGGGAGCAAACAGGAUUAGACACCCUGGUAGUCCACGCCCUAAACGAUGCGAACUGGAUGUUGGGUGCAAUUUGGCACUCAGUAUCGAAGCUAACGCGUUAGGUUCGCCGCCUGGGAAGUACGGUCGCAAGACUGAAACUCAAAGGAAUUGACGG